CCUACGGGAGGCAGCAGUAGGGAAUCUUCCACAAUGGGCGAAAGCCUGAUGGAGCAACGCCGCGUGGGUGAAGAAGGUCUUCGGAUCGUAAAACCCUGUUGUUAGAGAAGAAAGUGCGUGAGAGUAACUGUUCACGUUUCGACGGUAUCUAACCAGAAAGCCACGGCUAACUACGUGCCAGCAGCCGCGGUAAUACGUAGGUGGCAAGCGUUAUCCGGAUUUAUUGGGCGUAAAGGGAACGCAGGCGGUCUUUUAAGUCUGAUGUGAAAGCCUUCGGCUUAACCGGAGUAGUGCAUUGGAAACUGGGAGACGUGAGUGCAGAAGAGGAGAGUGGAACUCGAUGUGUAGCGGUGAAAUGCGUAGAUAUAUGGAAGAACACCAGUGGCGAAAGCGGCUCUCUGGUCUGUAACUGACGCUGAGGUUCGAAAGCGUGGGGAGCAAACAGGAUUAGAUACCCCUGUAGUC
rnacentral:rRNA from 1 species